GAUGAACGCUGGCGGCGUGCCUAAUACAUGCAAGUCGAGCGAACAGACGAGGAGCUUGCUCCUCUGACGUUAGCGGCGGACGGGUGAGUAACACGUGGAUAACCUACCUAUAAGACUGGGAUAACUUCGGGAAACCGGAGCUAAUACCGGAUAAUAUAUUGAACCGCAUGGUUCAAUAGUGAAAGACGGUUUUGCUGUCACUUAUAGAUGGAUCCGCGCCGCAUUAGCUAGUUGGUAAGGUAACGGCUUACCAAGGCAACGAUGCGUAGCCGACCUGAGAGGGUGAUCGGCCACACUGGAACUGAGACACGGUCCAGACUCCUACGGGAGGCAGCAGUAGGGAAUCUUCCGCAAUGGGCGAAAGCUUGACGGAGCAACGCCGCGUGAGUGAUGAAGGUCUUCGGAUCGUAAAACUCUGUUAUUAGGGAAGAACAAAUGUGUAAGUAACUAUGCACGUCUUGACGGUACCUAAUCAGAAAGCGACGGCUAACUACGUG
rnacentral:rRNA from 1 species